rnacentral:rRNA from 1 species
UACGAAGGGGGCUAGCGUUGCUCGGAAUCACUGGGCGUAAAGGGUGCGUAGGCGGUUUUUUAAGUCAGGGGUGAAAUCCUGGAGCUCAACUCCAGAACUGCCUUUGAUACUGAAGAUCUUGAGUUCGGGAGAGGUGAGUGGAACUGCGAGUGUAGAGGUGAAAUUCGUAGAUAUUCGCAAGAACACCAGUGGCGAAGGCGGCUCACUGGCCCGAUACUGACGCUGAGGCACGAAAGCGUGGGGAGCGAACAGG